UCCGGGUUGCGGACAGUGUCUGGUGGGUAGUUUGACUGGGGCGGUCUCCUCCUAAAGAGUAACGGAGGAGCACGAAGGUUGGCUAAUCCUGGUCGGACAUCAGGAGGUUAGUGCAAUGGCAUAAGCCAGCUUGACUGCGAGCGUGACGGCGCGAGCAGGUGCGAAAGCAGGUCAUAGUGAUCCGGUGGUUCUGAAUGGAAGGGCCAUCGCUCAACGGAUAAAAGGUACUCCGGGGAUAACAGGCUGAUACCGCCCAAGAGUUCAUAUCGACGGCGGUGUUUGGCACCUCGAUGUCGGCUCAUCACAUCCUGGGGCUGAAGUAGGUCCCAAGGGUAUGGCUGUUCGCCAUUUAAAGUGGUACGCGAGCUGGGUUUAGAACGUCGUGAGACAGUUCGGUCCCUAUCUGCCGUGGACGCUGGAGAACUGAGGGGGGCUGCUCCUAGUACGAGAGGACCGGAGUGGACGCAUCACUGGUGUUCGGGUUGUCAUGCCAAUGGCACUGCCCGGUAGCUAAAUGCGGAAGAGAUAAGUGCUGAAAGCAUCUAAGCACGAAACUUGCCCCGAGAUGAGUUCUCCCUGACUCCUUGAGAGUCCUGAAGGAACGUUGAAGACGACGACGUUGAUAGGCCGGGUGUGUAAGCGCAGCGAUGCGUUGAGCUAACCGGUACUAAUGAACCGUGAGGCUUAACCUUACAACGCCGAAGGUGUUU
rnacentral:rRNA from 1 species